GCUCACUACACGUACCUAACCUUCCCUUAAGUCAAGGAUACCCUCGGAAAACUGAGGUUAAUACUUGAUAGGAAAUAUACCCUGAAAUGAUUUAUCUCUAAAACUCGUGCUUAAGGAUGGGGCUGCGGAAAAUUAGGUUGUUGGCGGGGUAAUGGCCCACCAAGCCUUUGAUCUGUAAGGCUUCUUAGCGAAAAGGCCCUGAGAGGAAAUCUAAAACAUUAUUCCCACCCCUACGGGGUGCAGCAGUUAGAAAUAAUCUACAAUGCGCGCAAGCGUGAUAUUUUGAGCCAAAUUGUUUAUCUAUUGAUAAGUUUUUGCCAAGUGAAAAAAGCCUGGCAAAUAAGGACUGGGUAAAACAAGUGCCACCCGCCGCGGUAAUACUCGCGGUCCAAGUCCCACCCACUUUUAUUGGGUCAAAAACAUCCGUAGCUUGCUUAGUAAGUUUCUUGUGAAAUUCUAUAUCUUAAGUAUAGAGCGUGCAAAAAUUACUGUUGAGCUAAAGACUGAAAAACGUAGGAAGUACUUUUGAAGUAGCGGUAAAUUGUUUUGAUCUCAGAUGGACUCACGAUAGCGAAGGCUUCCUACAAGGACAGUUCUGACAGUAAGGAAUGAAGGCUAGGGCCGCAAAAGGAAUUAAAUACCCCUGUAUUCCUAGCAGUAAACACUGCACGCUAAACAUCACUACCUCCUCAAGAGGUAUUGUUGCUGUAGGGAAGCCGUAGAGUGUGCUACCUGGGAAGUAUAGUCGCAAGGCCAAAACUCAAAGGAAU
rnacentral:rRNA from 1 species